CCAAUAGCGUAUAUUAAAGUUGUUGCAGUUAAAAAGCUCGUAGUUGAAUUUCGGGGUUAGUAGGUUGGUCAUGCCUCUGGUAUGUACUGGUCUCACUGAUUCCUCCUUCCUGAUGAGCCGUAAUGCCAUUAAUUUGGUGUUGCGGGGAAUCUGGACUGUUACUUUGAAAAAAUUAGAGUGUUUAAAGCAAGCUAACGCUUGAAUACAUUAGCAUGGAAUAAUGAAAUAGGACGUUCGGUCCUAUUUUGUUGGUUUCUAGGAUUGACGUAAUGAUUAAUAGGGAUAGUUGGGGGCAUUAGUAUUCAAUUGUCAGAGGUGAAAUUCUUGGAUUUAUUGAAGACUAACUACUGCGAAAGCAUUUGCCAAGGAUGUUUUCAUUAAUCAAGAACGAAAGUUAGGGGAUCGAAGACGAUCAGAUACCGUCGUAGUCUUAACCAUAAACUAUGCCGACUAGGGAUCGGAUGAUGUUAAUUUUUUAAUGACUCAUUCGGCGCCUUACG
rnacentral:rRNA from 1 species